rnacentral:rRNA from 1 species
UACGAGGAGGGCAAGCGUUUGUCCGGAGUUAUUGGGCGUAAAGAGCUCGUAGGCGGUCUGUUGCGUCGGCUGUGAAACCCGGGGCUCAACCCCGGGCCUGCAGCCGAUACGGGCAGACUAGAGUUCGGCAGGGGAGACUGGAAUUCCUGGUGUAGCGGUGAAAUGCGCAGAUAUCAGGAGGAACACCGGUGGCGAAGGCGGGUCUCUGGGCCGAUACUGACGCUGAGGAGCGAAAGCGUGGGGAGCGAACAGG